GUAUGUUCUUAAUGUCGUCGUUCAACCACGACUCGAUGAAACAUAAGAUAUUACAGUUUUUAAUGUCCCGUUGGUAGGAUAUUUAAGAAUAUUUUGAAGAUAAAUACACAACGCAGAGUUUGAGAGGACUAAAAACUAGAGUACUAAUGGUCAAUAGCGAAUUGUAAAUAGGAGUUGGGUGUCAGUUCAACAUCUGUUCAGAAUCUGUGGAAUGUCACUCCUGAACUCAGAGCAACGUGUGCUACGUGGGUCACGUUUCCAUUGGUCUGUACAUUGAGUCUGGAGUGGGAUACUUGUUAUCUGGCCACUGGCCAAGUUGUCCUACAAGGACUUCUGAUUGGUCAACCCCAGGCUAGGGUGGGGGGUUAUAAAUGGCAUCCUGUUCCUUUGUUCGGUGGGGAAAAUCUGAGGACAGGGGAGACUGAACAUCUGAACAUCUACCUCCCAGCAUAACAUCUUGAUUUGUCCUCUCUGAAUAAACCAAUUUUUCUCCCCCUGAUUUGCUUUGGAGUUUGUGUUAUUGAAGAAUAACAUAAAUUGCUAACACUUGGUUCCGUGACCCGGAUGAAUUGGUCUGAACAACAACAACAAGAAAGACUUAUCAACUGUGUGUUGAUCCAGAGGAAAGAAGGCUGUGCACAACACACUUUGGCGAUUCAACUCUUAAUAUCCUGAUUGAUGGCAGAAUUGCUGGGUUAUGUGAAUCUAUCGUCUGAGGCUGCAGCGAUAUCCCUUGAAGGUACCUGAAACAAUACAAGAUCACCGGUGAAGUGCAGCCAAUGGAACGGAAGGAGAAUUCCUCACUACCUGCAGACUGUCAGAACAUAAUAUCUAAUAGUUAUCUAUGUGGGACUGAUACCAGCGUGGAAGAGCUGGUCACUUUUAAAGGACUUUGCGAAUGAUUACCUCUUCAAUAGGACGAUUGAAUAUUAUUGUCUUGCAGACAAGUGAAAGAUGUUUGAAAUAAUGUUCCCUGUGAGUUUCCUCCUAAUACAGGAUGUGGGUGGUGUGUCCAUUUCUAACACAGAGAUGCAUCAGCAGGAUGAGGGACACUCGGGCAUCAAUACGUUUCUAGCUCUCUUUCUACAUUAUGCCACAGUAGUCCCUCAAAGUAGUUGUUGGAUUUGUACAUAUGCUCCAUUCACAUCAAGGGCAGGUAUUCCAUUAAGGGAUAUUCCUUUUAACCAGAGCGAAAUGUUGGGUAUAUGGAGAGAUGUUAAUUGGUAUAAGGAGAUUAUUGGUACUAAUUUGGGUGAGAACGUUGAGAAUCAACAUGCGAGAGUACCUAGUUCUGCAGUACCUUCCUUCAUUUGAGAUUACCAAUGACACUAAUCAGCGACCACCUUACCUAGUUAUUACACAUGCCCCUGUUGGGUGGUUAUGUUUUAAUAGGUCACUCUCUUGGAACUUGUCUCAACUGCACCAGGACGCGUUUGUCAAAAUAGGACAGAGUUAGUGUGAUCAGACUAUCUGCCUGUGACGGUACUAAGGUUGCGGAAUGUCUAAUGUCUGUUGAAAUGACUCAGUAAUUUCACUAGGAAUACUUUUGAUGCCAGUACCUUCGGUAAUAUAAUCAAUAAUGGUAUGAUAGCUCCAAAUGGGACUUAGUUUAUCUGUGGAUCAUAUGCCUAUUCCUGGUUACCAAAGUUGUGGCAAGGGUCGUGUUAGUAAGGGUCGUGUUAGUAAGGGUCGUGUUAUUUGGGAUAUGUUGUAUGUAAGACGUUCUGUGAAUUCUCCUUUUUACACCAUCAUAAACAUGUGAUUACAGAAACGGAGAGAUUCUUUGCAAUUGCGUUUCCCUCUUAUGGUAUUUCUGAAAUAGCACAGGAAGUUAUUAAUAUGGCUAACUCUUUGGAAAUCCUAGCUAAUAGUACAGUUGAGAGUAUUGAGUUAAUUACUGCUGAGAUGGUUGCCAUUCGGACUGUGGCAAUGCAAAAUAGUUUGGCCCUUGAUUAUCUUCUGUCCGCAUAAGGAGGUACAUGUGCUGUUACUGGUGCUGAAUACUGUACUUACAUUCCUAAUAAAUCUGAGGAAAUAACUGACCUAAUCCAAAAGAUCAGGACUGAUGGCGCUAAAUAUCAUGAUUCCAAUCCAGAUGAUUUAGGCUUAGUCAUGUGGUUGUCUUCCACAUUCGGUACAUGGGGACGUUUUUUGGUGAGCAUGAUACUUCCAAUAGUGGGAGUUAUGGUUAUUUUUCUCAUCCUCAUCCAGGUUAUCAAGUGUGCUAAAAAUCCAAUGGUUACGUGAUAGGGGAUAUCAUAAGAUUCAUCAACCGUGUCCUUUUGGAGAUGGGUGUCAGUGGUGUUCACCAGAUUGUGGAGUGGGAUACUUGUUAUUUGGCCAUUGGCCAAGUUGUCCUACAAGGACUUCUGAUUGGUCAACCCCAGGCUAGGGUGGGGGGUUAUAAAUGGCAUCCUGUUCCUUUGUUCCGUGGGGAAAAUCUGAGGACAGGGGAGACUGAACAUCUGACUCCCAACAUAACAUGUUGAAUGGUCCUCUCUGAAUAAACCACAUUUUCUCCCCCUGA